CUACGGGAGGCUGCAGUGGGGAAUAUUGCACAAUGGGCGCAAGCCUGAUGCAGCCAUGCCGCGUGUGUGAAGAAGGCCUUCGGGUUGUAAAGCACUUUCAGCGGGGAGGAAGGCGUUAAGGUUAAUAACCUUGUCGAUUGACGUUACCCGCAGAAGAAGCACCGGCUAACUCCGUGCCAGCAGCCGCGGUAAUACGGAGGGUGCAAGCGUUAAUCGGAAUUACUGGGCGUAAAGCGCACGCAGGCGGUCUGUCAAGUCGGAUGUGAAAUCCCCGGGCUCAACCUGGGAACUGCAUUCGAAACUGGCAGGCUAGAGUCGUGUAGAGGGGGGUAGAAUUCCAGGUGUAGCCGUGAAAUGCGUAGAGAUCUGGAGGCAUACCGGCGGCGAAGGCGGCCCCCUGGACAAAUACUGACGCUCAGGUGCGAAAGCUUGGGGAGCAAACAGGCUUAAUACCCCGGUAGUC
rnacentral:rRNA from 1 species